GAUGAACGCUGGCGGCGUGCCUAAUACAUGCAAGUCGAGCGAACAGAUAAGGAGCUUGCUCCUUUGACGUUAGCGGCGGACGGGUGAGUAACACGUGGGUAACCUACCUAUAAGACUGGGGUAACUUCGGGAAACCGGAGCUAAUACCGGAUAACAUUUGGAACCGCAUGGUUCUAAAGUGAAAGAUGGUUUUGCUAUCACUUAUAGAUGGACCCGCGCCGUAUUAGCUAGUUGGUAAGGUAACGGCUUACCAAGGCAACGAUACGUAGCCGACCUGAGAGGGUGAUCGGCCACACUGGAACUGAGACACGGUCCAGACUCCUACGGGAGGCAGCAGUAGGGAAUCUUCCGCAAUGGGCGAAAGCCUGACGGAGCAACGCCGCGUGAGUGAUGAAGGGUUUCGGCUCGUAAAACUCUGUUAUUAGGGAAGAACAAAUGUGUAAGUAACUAUGCACAUCUUGACGGUACCUAAUCAGAAAGCCACGGCUAACUACGUGCCAGCCGCCGCAGUAA
rnacentral:rRNA from 1 species